rfam:Candidatus Parvarchaeum acidophilus ARMAN-5 ARM5contig_4391, whole genome shotgun sequence.
GCUCUCGUAGUCUAGCGGCCAAGGACAGUGGCCUCUCGAGUCACUGACCCGGGUUCAAAUCCCGGCGGGAGCA